rnacentral:rRNA from 1 species
UACGUAGGGUGCAAGCGUUGUCCGGAAUUAUUGGGCGUAAAGAGCUCGUAGGCGGCCUGUUGCGUCUGCUGUGAAAUCCCGGGGCUUAACCCCGGGCGUGCAGUGGAUACGGGCAGGCUGGAGGCAGGCAGGGGAGAAUGGAAUUCCCGGUGUAGCGGUGAAAUGCGCAGAUAUCGGGAGGAACACCGGUGGCGAAGGCGGCUCACUGGCUCAUUACUGACGCUCAGGCGCGAUAGCGUGGGGAUCAAACAGG